rnacentral:lncRNA from 1 species
AAAAAAAGCCUGCGGGUCCAUCAAAGAAGCAGGUUCAUUUCAUGAUUUGCUCUUUGAUGCCCAGCUCCUAUGCAAUUUGAAUGGACCUUGUAUGACUAAUCUUCAUUAUUGUACAAAUUAGUGGCUAGCAAUUAAGAUAUUUUAUCUGCGACUUUGAUCCCAGCUCCUAAGGAAUUUGAAUGGACCUUGUUUAUGACUAAUCUUCAUGUGAUAUUGUUGAACAAAUUAGUGGCUAGCACUUAAGAUAUUUUAUGUGGAGGACUAUUUGGUUCCGGACUAGAUUUGCCACAUUUUCGGGUAAAUAUAAUAAGGCAAUGCCUAAAGAUUGAUCUUCUUUUGUUAACCAUUCUGCUACUUUCAAGACUAAGCUUUUUCCUAGUAUUGUGAGCUCCACACCCAAACCCCUACCCUGGAGCCCAAUACCUGCUUUUCCAUUUUGCUCACUUGGUGUCUCAAGUCAACCCCAACCUUAUUGUUGAAGGAGGAGGGUCUUUGCCACUAGGCUAUCCCUCCCUCAAUGCUGCUUAAAGCUUUACCACUCUUCGAUUUAUUCUUAUAACAUAUACCUUUUGUGCAGAACAAACCACCUGGGAAUGUCAAGG